GUGUGAGCACAUGUGUCCAUGUGUAUGCGUGUCUUGAAGCCAUUGUUUUCCAAAACAAAAAAACAUGGAAGGAAAAAAAAAAGGUAGAGACAGCUGCCUUAUCUAGAUGCUGGUUAUGUGAAGGUUAGUGGAUGGCAGUAGUUUAACCAAACAAAUAAGAGCCAAAAAUGCCAUGAUAAAUUUAAUUGAUAAUGCUCAAAAAGCAGGCUAGCCCUAUUACCAUAAGUCAUGGAGGACAGGCGAAACUCUCUUCUCUCUCUUUAUUUUUAAUUUUUUUUCCCACAAUUUAUCCUACAACCCUCAAAACGUCAACCAAAUAGUGAAUAAUUCUAGACCUUGGAGGUGGUGGCUAUCAAUAAUUUAAUAUAUUUACCCCUUAGUUAACUAGUUGACAGCCAAACAUAACCUAAGUUAUUCCUUGGGUAUGUUUAAGUUAUUUAACAUGUGAUAAGAUACUUAAGUUGAUAAAUAACGAUGAUAAUUCUAUAUUAAACACAUAAUGGAUGCUUCACAAAAAGUACCUAGCACUCAAAACUAAGAAUCUCUCACAUGACACUCCACAAAAAUAAGUAUCGAGAAGCACUUGAAAGUUGAGUUUCCAGCUGACUUGUAUUGUGUCCUAUUAUGUCAUGUCCGCAUGUCCAAAAAAAAUGCUGACGCCCCUAAAUUAAUGUCCAUAGAAUUAUACCUCGUACAACUUGGCCGCAUGUUGGUUUGCCAAGACUGUUGCUAUUGCUACCAAACACUAAACCCCCUCAAGCAGGAAACUAAGCAGGGGUUACUAUGGUAAUUGAACUCUCAAAUAUUGGCACCUUAUGCAUUGCAGCAUAUAUAAGAAAGAUCUCUAGUUCAAUUGAUGACAGACAUUGAGACAUUAGUCAACUGGAAGCACUUAUAAUUUCCUUAGUCAACUGGAAGCACUUAUAAUCAUCUGAUAAUCAUUCACUUUCUUACAGUUUGAAGGAGUUGCACAAUCUUGAUGUAUCAAAGAUAGGGCAUUAAUUUUAGACAUGCACAGAACAAAGUUAUCACAAGAAAUGAUAUGAGAAUCCUACUAAAGGAUACCGAAAGUCCAUAUAUUCUACCACAUCAAGAAAAUAACUAUGUAGACAAAAACAUACAUAUAUUUCACGUCCUAAACAAGAGACUAGGAGUUGGUAAGGAUAUAUGUGCUGGCUGUAAAGUACAUAUUAAGGAGACUCUUAGUUUCUACACGUUGUUUUAUCAUUGUAUAUAGGCCUUGGGCAACUGGAUAAGCCCACCAAGUCAGUCUGGUAAUUUAAAUGAUAUUAAUUCAACAAGCUAUUGUUUGCAAACAUUUCGUAAAGUUACAUUUAUUCCAAGCUACUCAAAUUGCAAAUAAGCUUUGUGGUGGGAUCAAUAUUUCCUGGGGUCCCAAGCCUUCAACUCUUCUCCACAUGCAGCAUUGAUGAGGCAAAAAAUGCUCAUAGAUAUCCAAAAUUGAAGAGUUGGCAUUGCUAUGGGCAAGGCUAAAUUAUGAGUAUGUGACAAUUACAUUAAAUGAAGAAUCAAUGGAUGAUGACCAAGGGCAAUAUGAUCAUAUGAUAGAGAUGAUAGCACGUCAUGAAAUUUUUUUUAAAAAAAAAAGUAGGUGCGAUGCACCAUCGUAGGAAAUGAUAGCUUUUCAACUUCCCACAGGAGCAAACAAGCAGCUAGUUCUGCAUCUAUAACCUUCUAUUCUAAUGCAUAUUAAAAUUUUAUUUGUAUCUUGUAAUGGUAAGAUUAAGUCAUGGAAGGCAUGGUCAAGUUUCUCAUUGUCCAAGUCCAUGUGCCGAUUCAAGCUAGUCACAUUUAAAAGUUCUAGCAAGCUCUCUGUCACUUUUCUCAAUAUGGUUCAAUAAUUUUUAUUUUUGCGCACAAUGAAUCCCUCUUCCUUGGAUCACUAUGGGUGCAGGGAAAUAUGUUCUCUAUAGGGCCCCUUUACAUUUAUACAAUGAACUGCACCAAUCAGGCACCAAAUAAUGUUGUGGAAACACAAAAAUAAAAUCAUAAGGCAAGAUGAAAAGAAAAUAUGAAAACUUUUAAAAAUACUCAUCUAAUAUAAACAAUAUAUAUCAACAACACAAAUAGAAAAGAGGCUAUGGCUGUGCUUGGAUGCUAAAUAGCUAAAUGGGGGUUAGAUAAGUUUAACCAUUGGUAACCACCUCCAAAUCAGCUAACUACCAGUUAAAAGUUAUCUGCUGUUUGGUUGAUCUUUCGGAGUCUAGUGGGAUAAAUUGUGGAAAAUCUGAAAAUUAAAGAGAGAAGAGCGAGCUCCUUAGCUCUAUCUCACCAUCCGCCAUGAAAUAAGUUAACCAGUUUGUCUGCUUUUUAGGGCAUUGACCGACUAAAGUAUCAUGGCAUUUUGGGCUCUUCUUUGUCUGGUUAAACUACUGACCAGCAGAUAACCAGCAUCCAAACAAGGCCUAAGUGAGUACAGUUACAACAAGCACUGCACCCCCACCCCCCCCCUCCUUUUCUCCCCUCCUUUUCUCUCUCUCAAAACAGCAUCCAAACAUAAGGCUAUUUAUAUUCCAAGCCUAGCCCUCACAUUUCUAACUUAUUGACAUAGGCAUAACCUAGAACAAGGCCUUGGCUUGAAGCAUGAAAAAACAAGAAUCCAAGUUGAAUAAAAUAUCAAGUGCAACAAUUAAAACUGCUACAAUACACCACAAACAUAUUAAACCCUCUAGAACAUAUUGAUGUGUGACUGCACACUCAAAAAUUGAGAAUAAUUUGAAAAAUAAAUAAAUAAAUAAAUAGUAGUGUUGUCAAAGGCGAUCUAGGCACUUGGGCAGGGCAAGGAAACCCUUAAAUACCUCACACUCCCCAAGAAAGGUUAGUUUACUAAGGUAACAUCUAGGCAAGCACUUGGGACAAAGUAAGAGGCAUUCAAUUGUGCACCUCUCCAAUGUCUAGCACAAUUUUUUUGACAUGUUUCACCCAUUUUUUUAGAGCUUUGAUGGCUUUAUGUUGAUUUCAAUUUUGAUCUAUUGGAGCCCUCAUAAAUAAAGGACCACCAUAGGAUGUUUUGUGGUUAAUUCUUUAAUAUUAUGUAUUGUUGUGAAACAUGAAACAUGUUCUAGGAAACUGUAUUUCACUGUCAUCUUUAAACUUGAAAACUGUUUUAGGAUGUUCAUUGGUCCAUUUUUGCUGAUUUUUGUUUUAAAAACAUGUUACGAGAAGUGUUAUUCUGAUGUGAUGUUUUCAAAGAUGUAAAACAUGUAUCUAAUUUUUGGGAUGAUCAUGAUUUAAGAUGUUUAAACAUGAAUAAACAAUUUUAUUAUGAGUGUAUUGUUUUCGAAUACAAGCAAUAUUUAUUUCUAAUGUAAUUGUUUAACUUUUUCAUAGAUGAGUACCUUGCUUUCUUCAACAGAUGCCUUUUUAGCACCUAGCACCUCAGACAAUAUGAGGUAUUGUUAUCUUAAGCAUGGCUUUUGCUUUUGAUAACCUUGAUAAGCAGAAAAUCCUCUCCGUGAUGAAGCAACCAACAGUCGACUAUUAAACAAAAGAUUGUAUGCUGGACAACAUUACCAUAAAGAAGACAGCUAACUAGGAGCCAAGAGUAUCAUACAUGGAUAUGAGCUCCAUCCCUCUACAUUCAGCUUGGUUUUAUAAAUUCUACCAUGCCAUUGAUCCUUGUCUGAGCCCAAGUCACUAGUCUGGAAGUGUUCAUGAGUUAGUUGUGCAUGGCUCUCAAUGUUCUUCCUCAAAAAAGAAAAUAUCCCAGACAUGUAUUCCCUCAUCUAUCUUACACAACUUUCCUUCAUGGAUCUCCCUCAAACUGUAUGCUCCAACAUUCAACCUCUGGAAAUCCUUCCAAAUUUGUAUUAACUUAUAUAAGUGCUACUAUAAUCAACUUUCGUGCACAUAAAUACAGCAUAGAUAUUUAGUUUCUCCUUCAUCUUUCCUUUUUUGCUUGCCUUUUUUGGUGUUAUGAAGAUCGCUAGAGCUUGCAUAUUUCAUUACAUUCACUAAACUAUGUUCUUUGUUGAGGAAUAAAUAUAGCGUUCUGUCCUACUAUAUUACUUUUUUAACUUCUUCUUAUCAACAAGCUCAUUCAUUAGUUGCCGUUUGAACCUCCCCUUCCAACCACCAAUUUCCCUAGCCAUGAACUUUAAAUUGGACAAUUUUGGACAUUUAAAGCAUCCCAGAAGCUACCCUAUUGAUGAGAACCAUCAAAAAAUACUCAAUCUUGAGGCACCUUAGUAAUCUCCAAUAGCAGUUAUGCUCAUGAUAGAUAUAUAUGGAAACAAUUUGCAUGUGUUGAGUUGCUAACUCUGUACAACAAAUAAAUUUUGAUGCUUAUUUCUCAUGUCUCCUCCCCUCACCUCCCC
rnacentral:lncRNA from 1 species